rnacentral:rRNA from 1 species
UACGGGAGGCAGCAGUGGGGAAUAUUGCACAAUGGGCGCAAGCCUGAUGCAGCCAUGCCGCGUGUAUGAAGAAGGCCUUCGGGUUGUAAAGUACUUUCAGUCGUGAGGAGGGUGUUAAGGUUAAUAACCUUAGCAAUUGACGUUAGCGACAGAAGAAGCACCGGCUAACUCCGUGCCAGCAGCCGCGGUAAUACGGAGGGUGCGAGCGUUAAUCGGAAUUACUGGGCGUAAAGGGCACGCAGGCGGUUAAUUAAGUUGGAUGUGAAAUCCCCGGGCUUAACCUGGGAAUGGCAUUCAAGACUGGUUAGCUAGAGUCUUGUAGAGGGGGUAGAAUUCCAUGUGUAGCGGUGAAAUGCGUAGAGAUGUGGAGGAAUACCGGUGGCGAAGGCGGCCCCUGGACAAAGACUGACGCUCAUGUGCGAAAGCGUGGGGAGCGAAAC